GGAGGGGUCGCAUAGUGGCCUAGUGCGCGCGCUUGGAAAGCGCGUAAGCCUUAACCGGCUUCGAGGGUUCGAAUCCCUCCCCCUCCG
rfam:Parcubacteria bacterium GW2011_GWA1_59_11 TY99_C0018, whole genome shotgun sequence.